CCAGAAGCGCUCGACGUCAAGCAGAGAAGCAGCAGGGAGAGACGCAGCUCCAUGGUGGCUGGAUGUCGGCUGGAGACCCUGCUGAGCCUUUUUUACAGGCGCACCUUCUCAGAGCUUCACGGUCCGGAUGGAGGCUCCGGGUCAGAGGGAUGUUCAGACACGGUUGAGUCGGAUGGGAGGAGGAGGAGGUGGAUGCUGUCAGUCACGCGCCUCUCCGGUCCAUCACACACCGCGAGGAGGAAUUCCCCCAAAGCAACCUUGAAGUUUUAAUAUUUCCUCAUUUUCCAACAACAAAAGUUAUGAUUAACCUCUUUUUUUUACAGGUUGAAUGUGAAAUAUCUUUGCUUACCAUGAAAGAAAACACCUCCUCAAUUCAUGUAGUAGGAGGAUCGACCGGCUGAUGGCGCUGUGCUUUCCGUCGGGUUUGUUGGAUGACAGUCACCUGUCGGCGCCGGCGUGCGCAGCUGCCGUCGGUGGCGUUUCUGCCCCAUCAGAACAGAAAACGCGAGUCUGUUGACUCUUCAGCUCAGCCGGACGCAGCCUGAAGAUCUCUCCAUCUGCAUGUCGGGCAACUGGACAGUGUUUGACUCCAAAGUGACCUCUGACCUCUGGGGUUGUAAGUUAAACGCUGGUCCUUCAGGCGGCCGGUCGCUGGACAAUGAGCAGAGGUCAUCUGUGCGUCCACUUGGGCAGAAAACCAAAGUUUCUUGGCCUUUUAAACACCAACAACAGAGCUGCAGUUUAGUUCUUUGUCUUUUUUUUACUUUUAUGUUAAUAACUAUCCCAAAAAAAGCACAAAGAUGUUUUUUAGGACAUCAAAACACCUCGUUGAGACAGUUUCCUGCAUAAAAUCAUCUGCUUAGUCGCGCAGAACUCGUGUGGUCAUGUUAGCAUUUUACGUUCGUGGUUUUUUUUUGGGUUCUGUCCUUUUCUCAGCUGUUCUGCAAGUUCUGACACAGGGGUCGUGACCUCUGACCCACGUGGAAUCCCAGUUCAUCCACAAAGCAAAACAAGUGGAACGCUAUAUUCGUUUCCACAUUUUCUGUCAUUAUAUAAAAUAUAAAGUUAAAUCUACAUCACCUAAUGAAAGUGCAGGGAUCCUUCUCAUUAGAUCUUUUUUCUACCAUAAAAUACCAGAAGUUAUUUUAAUUUUUUGUGUAAUUAGAUAUAAUUUGACAUGAAUGAAUUUUAGAAAUCAUUUGAGAAAGUGUUGGGAUUUUAUUUUCCACACAUCAGAUCAUUUUUGUGCCUCAAAA